CUCCUCUCAGGGUCGCACCUGGAGGGUUUCCAGUAUUCUACGAGUCUCGGUUACAGGAUGGAGAGUCAAGCAGAGGCAUACCGAUUCCAUUCCUAGUUUGGCCAGUGGCAAGCGAGUGGAAGGCGAUCUGCUACAAAU